rnacentral:rRNA from 1 species
CCCUUAGAUGUUCUGGGCCGCACGCGCGCUACAAUGAUGAAUUCAACGAGUUUAUAACCUUGGUUGAAAAGCCUGGGUAAUCUUUUGAACUUUCGUCGUGAUGGGGCUAGACCCUUGCAAUUAUUGGUCUCCAACGAGGAAUUCCUAGUAAACGCAAGUCAUCAGCUUGCAUUGAUUACGUCCCUGCCCUUUGUACACACCGCCCGUCGCACCUACCGAUUGAAUGGUCCGGUGAAAUCUUCGGAUUGAGACUUUGAUCUCUUCACGGAAAACGCUGUUUUAAGAAGUUGAUUAAACCUUACCAUUUAGAGGAAGGUGAAGUCGUAACA